UACGAAGGGUGCAAGCGUUGUUCGGAAUUAUUGGGCGUAAAGGGUUCGUAGGCGGGAACUCAAGUCAAGUGUGAAAUCCUCGGGCUUAACCUGAGACGUGCAUUUGAAACUGGGUUUCUUGAGUGUCAGAGAGGGUAGUGGAAUUGCUGGUGUAGGAGUGACAUCCGUAGAGAUCAGCAGGAACACCGGAGGCGAAGGCGACUGCCUGGCUGACAACUGACGCUGAGGAACGAAAGCGUGGGGAGCAAACAGG
rnacentral:rRNA from 1 species